rnacentral:rRNA from 1 species
AUACGUAGGGGGCGAGCGUUGUCCGGAAUUACUGGGCGUAAAGGGUGCGUAGGUGGCCUUUUAAGUUGGAUGUGAAAUACCCGGGCUUAACCUGGGGGGUGCAUCUAAUACUGGGAGGCUAGAGUGCAGGAGAGGAAAGCGGAAUUCCUAGUGUAGCGGUGAAAUGCGUAGAUAUUAGGAGGAACACCAGUGGCGAAGGCGGCCUACUGGGCUUUAACUGACGCUGAGGCUCGAAAGCGUGGGUAGC